rnacentral:rRNA from 1 species
UACGUAGGGGGCUAGCGUUGUCCGGAUUUAUUGGGCGUAAAGAGCGUGUAGGCGGCCAUGUAGGUCCGGUGUGAAAACUCGAGGCUCAACCUCGAGACGUCGGCGGAAACCAUCUGGCUAGAGUCCGGAAGAGGAGAGUGGAGUUCCUGGUGUAGCGGUGAAAUGCGCAGAUAUCAGGAAGAACACCCGUGGCGAAGGCGGCUCUCUGGGACGGUACUGACGCUGAGACGCGAAAGCGUGGGGAGCGAACAGG